rnacentral:rRNA from 1 species
CAGCAGCCGCGGUAAUACGGAGGGGGCUAGCGUUGUUCGGAAUUACUGGGCGUAAAGCGCACGUAGGCGGCUUGGUAAGUUAGAGGUGAAAGCCCAGGGCUCAACCCUGGAAUUGCCUUUAAGACUGCCGAGCUAGUAGGUGAGAGAGGUAAGUGGAAUUCCGAGUGUAGAGGUGAAAUUCGUAGAUAUUCGGAAGAACACCAGUGGCGAAGGCGGCUUACUGGCUCAUUCUAGACGCUGAGGUGCGAAAGCGUGGGGAGCAAACAGGAUUAGAUACCCCAGUAGUCCCUGUCUCUUAUAC